rnacentral:rRNA from 1 species
GACAGAGGCCUCGAGCGUUAGGCGGAAUCACUGGGCUUAAAGCGUGUGUAGGCGGGCCCGUAAGUGUCUUGUGAAAUCCCCCGGCUCAACCGGGGAAAUGCGCGUGAUACUGGCGGGCUUGAGAUCGGGAGGGGUGAAUGGAACUCCAGGUGGAGCGGUGAAAUGCGUAGAUAUCUGGAGGAACACCGGUGGCGAAAGCGGUUCACUGGCCCGACACUGACACUGAGGUGCGAAAGCUAGGGUAGCAAACGGG